rnacentral:misc_RNA from 1 species
UUUCCGUAGGUGAACCUGCGGAAGGAUCAUUACCGAGUGAGGGCCCUCUGGGUCCAACCUCCCACCCGUGUUUAUUUACCUUGUUGCUUCGGCGAGCCUGCCUUUUGGCUGCCGGGGGACGUCAGUCCCCGGGUCCGUGCUCGCCGGAGACACCUUAGAACUCCGUCUGAAGAUUGUAGUCUGAGAUUAAAUAUAAAUUAUUUAAAACUUUCAACAACGGAUCUCUUGGUUCCG